rnacentral:miRNA from 1 species
AUGGGCUUUCCGAGACUAUUCGA